UCUGUGUCCCAAGUGCUGGGAUUAAAAGCAUGUGCUGUAUUAAACAAUAUAAAAAAAUGAAUGAAUUUUAUUUCUAGGAGUCUCUGGGGGUAGAGGAGCAUAGGAAGUCUGGCUUCCCAGACCCACAUCCAAUUAUCUUCUAGUCUUCCCUUACAGUUGAAACACAGUCUGUGUUCCAAAAUGUGUUUACAUCCACUACCACUUCUGGAAGUUUAUUUUCCCAAGACUCAUGAAGACAUGGAACUCUCAUCACUGCCUGCCCCAUGCCUGCCUGGAUGCUGCCAUGCUCCCACCUUGACGAUAAUGGACUGAACCUCUGUAACUAUAUGCACUGCCAUGGGUGUGAGGACAGAGAACAGGAGAUGGUUUUCUCUUCUGACCAUGCGGUUCCUGGGGGUGUAACCUCAGGUCGAGCCAUCUUGACAGCCCAGAUUGUAUACAAAAGGGAUCGAUGGGGGAAAUCUACAGGUCAGAUGUGGAGCAGUGGACUGUGCCACCACAGAAGAACUGGUAAGGUUGUGGUAAAGUUCAGAACCCCAAUAUAACUCAGGAGUUCAAAUUAGCUCCAGGAGCACAUGACCAAGGGACAGGCCACUAGGAGGACCAUGCCAAUCAGCAAGUAGAGACAACACCUGAAGCCCUUCCCCACACAGACAGAGCCGACAGGAAAGCACCUACCCCUGGAUUCCACCACAGGACAAAGUGUUUAUAAGGUCCCUGUCCAUGAGGAAUAAAGUGUAUGGGUCAUUUUACCAAA